AUGAAGCCAGCCACCAAUACUACAAUUCCAGAGAAACGAGUUCAUAGGUGGAGUGCACCAGGUAAUGAUGAAGUAAAGAUUAAUGUUGAUGGGGCCAUAUCUCGCAAUGGCAGGACAGGGGCGGCCGCAGCGAUCUGCAGGGACAAAGAUGGCAACUAUCUUGGCGCGUCAGCUAUCACCAUUGAUGGCUUGGUGGAUGUAGCGAGCCUUGAAGCACAUGCAUGCAGCGAGGCGCUUGCUCUGGCGAGAGAUAUAAACGUCACACAUGCGAUGAUAGCUUCGGACUGCAUGCAAGUGGUGACGGAUAUAAAAGGGAGUACACUAUCUUCAUACGCUUUGGUUAUAGAUGAAAUAAAGGAGUCCAUGAUUGACUUUGUAAAGAUUAGUUUUCGUUAUGAGUGUAGGGGAGCAAAUUUGGAAGCUCACGCCAUUUCUAAGGCGGCUUCAGCGUUUCCCUCUAGUCGCUGUUUGUGGCUAGGGACCUUGCCAGACAUUGCUUGUAUUGCUCCGGCUUUGAAUUUUGAAUAA
rnacentral:rRNA from 1 species